GAUGAACGCUGGCGGCGUGCUUAACACAUGCAAGUCGAGSGAAGCACUUACCAUUGACUCUUCGGAAGAUUUGGUAAAUGACUGAGCGGCGGACGGGKGAGUAACGCGKGGGUAACCUGCCUCAUACAGGGGAAUAACAGUUAGAAAUGGCUGCUAAUGCCGCAUAAGCGCACAGUACCGCAUGGUACGGUGUGAAAAACUGAGGUGGUAUGAGAUGGACCCGCGUCUGAUUAGGUAGUUGGUGGGGUAACGGCCUACCAAGCCGACGAUCAGUAGCCGGCCUGAGAGGGUGAACGGCCACAUUGGGACUGAGACACGGCCCAGACUCCUACGGGAGGCAGCAGUGGGGAAUAUUGCACAAUGGGGGAAACCCUGAUGCAGCGACGCCGCGUGAAGGAAGAAGUAUCUCGGU
rnacentral:rRNA from 1 species